AUCCAGAUGACGAGUCCCAAAUAUGAUGAAAUGCGGAUCCUGGAU
rnacentral:hammerhead_ribozyme from 1 species